rnacentral:misc_RNA from 1 species
AGAACUGCUAGGUCUUCCUAUCCCUAGCAACAACCUAGGGCACCUGCUGAUGGACAUGGUUCAAGAGCAAGGUGCUGAGGAACAGUUAGCCUCACUACUGAGGAACACAAUCCAGCUCCUGAAUCUGCUGAGGGAGGACCAGCCAGGUGCCGAUUCAGAAGUUAGAGGUUUUUUCCAUUCAACUUGUGAACUCCAUUCAAAAUGGUUAUCCCUAACUCCACAGGAGAGAAGUAGUGCAAUGGCUCAUCAAAUUCAAAUCAAAUACAACGAGGUCAUCACCAUGGCAACAAGCACCAUCACCAAAAAGUUGACCACUUACGACCUACCAGCUCUGAUCACUUGUGUCAUUGGAUUGUGGACAGCAGCGAUCCUCCUUCUGCUGAGUCAGCAGAGCCCGGUAAGAUGGGUUGUCAUGGUCCAUGUGAUCUCUACCUUGUAUUUGGUCGGCCACCUGACACAAUUCCAGUCUGUUUGGCCGUUCUCUGGGUCAGGGUACUUAAUCUCUGUAGCCUCCCUUAUGCUUGUACUCUCUACAAUUGCACUCCAGGCCAAGAAAACAAUGAAGGAUCAGGUGCUGGAGUGGAUGCGGAGUUCAUUUUAUGGAGGUGGAUCUCUGUGUGGGGGAUUCCUGAUUGCUGGGACACUCCUCCACACUGUCAGUCUGCUGUCCAGCAGCUACGUGGAGGAAGAACACCAGACCUGGUACUUCCUCUCCACUACCAUCCACAUUCUCCACUUGAUGUCAGUAAUCCUCACCAUGAACACAAAUCAGCAUCCUUGUAAUGCAUCAUUUAACUCCUCCACAUCAAACCAUUUCCUGAGGAGCUGCCCCAAAUCUGAUGUAGAGAGUGAUCAGGGCUCUCACUCAGACAAAAUCAGACAGGAAGUACUUAACACUGCUGUUUUAUUACUGGCUGCAAGAUUGAUGAGGUCUUGGAACCAGACAGGAAACAAGUGGCUCCACCUACCUGACAUUGUGGACUGGCUGAUUCUGUAAGUCAACAGGUGUUUGAAUAUCAUUCAAAAGUUUUAUGUCUGACAUUGUAACUUCAUAAAUUUCUGUAAAAGUUAGAUAACAAAUGUACUUGCUGCAUUGAAAUGAAAAUCUACGUGUGUUUCUGAAUCACUGUGGAAUCAUUAAAUUUCGUAGUGGCUCAAUUUUUGUGGAAUUUUUGGGUGCCUCUCAUCUACGAAAUAGCAUCCUCUACUAAUUAAUAAAUUAGAGUUUAUAAGUCAUAUUUCCUUAUGUUGGUGUAAUAGAAUGCACAAAAUUUCGCCCCCAAGAUCCUGUAAAAUUUAUGGAAUCCACAAAAAUUGGCACUCAGGAAUUUAAAUGAUUUCACAGUAUACUUAGAAUAUACCACAUUUGAAUUCUGAGGAAUGUUCGGCAGAGAAGGCCCUUACACAAGCUUGCCAAAAUUUGUGUUGUAGGGAUUUGAAAUGUUAAUGCGUUCAUGAACACCAUCUCUAUCAAACAGGCUUCUGAUAAAUUAGUAUCAGUGCUAACACUUGUAUUGCUUUCAGAGCAGACAACAGGAUUCUCCUCUCCGUCCUGGUGGCGGUAUCUCUUCUACUCAUUCUAGUCCUGCAGUCCCGUCGGCUGACCUGGGUACAGACGAUACUGUCAGCCACGGGGUUGUUCUGUGUGUUCUGGUCCCGUGCUUCAACUGGUGCCCUCUUUCUUCCCUUUGUUCCUCAAAUGGACAGGGGAAUCCUUCCGGCCAGGCUGAGCUUCCUGUGUGUAUUCCUUGUAUUGGUCAGUCAGUUCCUUCCUGGUCAAACCUCAAGGCCGUCUGUAGGACAUAUGGAUAUCUGUCUGUCAGCAUGGACAGUCCUCCAUGUUUUAUUGAUGAGGCCUCAUAACACUGUACUGGUGGCCUUCAUGACAGUCCAGCAGUCUGUGCUUUGUGGAUGUAAACUGGUGCUCUCCCCCUCUGCUGCUGCAGUCUUCUAUGUGUGGAUGGGAAGAGCUGCUUUCUUUUCUCAGGGUAACUCUAACAGUAUAGCCACUGUGGAUGUGGGGGCGGGCUAUGUAGGACAGGAAGAUUACAACGCCUUCCCCGUCGCCUUCCUCCUGGGCCUCGCUACAUAUGCUGGUCCCAUUUACUGGUUCAUGGCCUUUCUUGCAAAGCUCAACACCCUCAAUCCAAGUCAUCGGGACCUUCACCAGGUAUACUUCACUGUGGCAGUGACUUGUUUACUAUCGAUGGUGGUCUAUGCGGCGUUCGUGGUGACUGAGCGAUACCAUCUGUUUGUGUGGACGGUGUUUCUACCCAAGUUAUUGUAUUUGGGCAUGGACCUAGUGAUCUACUACCUUCUCUCUGUGAUACUAGUGCUUAAGUACUAUCUAUGGUGUGAAUGACGAUGUACCUCUAUAGUGCUAAUGAUAAAGUACUACACAGGGUUUUAAACUAACUUGAAUUUUUUGCUAGCCAUGUGGGCAACUAAGCUUUGUUAUUCCAGGGGCCCACAUCAAAAUUUAGUUGCCCACACUUUGAAUUUAAAAGAAAUAAAAAAAAGAGUUUAUUUUUUUAUCUCAUUUAAUAACAUGCCAUUGUACAUACAUAUACAUUCAUAUUGAAUUUCGAUUUUUAUUAAAAUUUUCAAAUACUUCAUUUUCUAAAAUUUAUAACUCAAGUCUUCUGAAUCAACCACAUGUCUUGUUGUUCUUUUACAGUCAUCUGUAUUGGUUAAUCCAUCUCCUAUUACAAAUAAAAAUCCUUUUCUUUUGGUUGGCUGAUACAACCAUUACCAGAAAUAGAGAAUAAUACAUAACCUUUUCCAUAUCACAGUCAGUAUCAGCCCGAGACUCCAAGAUUCAUUUAUCAUUAAGUCUUGUGACCAGUACAUUUGAUUGCAUCAGCUGUAUGUUUGUGUUGUUAUUUUACAUGUUUUAUAUGAAUUUAUAUUUAUAAAAUACACCUGUAUAUGAUAUACUGCAAUU